rnacentral:rRNA from 1 species
GCUCAGAACUCAAAGGAAUUGACGGGGCCCGCACAAGCGGUGGAGCAUGUGGUUUAAUUCGAUGAUACGCGAGGAACCUUACCUGGGCUCAAAUGUAUGUUGACGUAUUCUGAAAGGGAUACUUCUUCGGACAAUAUACAAGGUGCUGCAUGGUUGUCGUCAGCUCGUGCCGUGAGGUGUCGGGUUAAGUCCCAUAACGAGCGCAACCCCUAUCAUUAGUUGCCAUCAGGUUAAGCUGGGGACUCUAAAGGAACUGCCUACGCAAGUAGUGAGGAAGGCGGGGAUGACGUCAAAUCAGCACGGCCCUUACGUCCAGGGCUACACACGUGCUACAAUGGCCGAUACAGAGGGCAGCUACCUGGUGACAGGAUGCAAAUCUCCAAAGUCGGUCUCAGUUCGGAUCGGAGUCUGCAACCCGACUCCGUGAAGUUGGAUUCGCUAGUAAUCGCGCAUCAGCCAUGGCGCGGUGAAUACGUUCCCGGGCCUU